GCUGGGUGUGGUGGUGCACACCUGUAAUCCCAGCUACUCAGGAGGCUGAGGCAGGAGAAUCACUUGAAGCCGGGAGGCAGAUGUUGCAGUGAGCUGAGAUUGUGCCACUGCACUCCUGCCUGGCAACAGAGUGAGACUCUGUCUCAA
rfam:Pan troglodytes isolate Yerkes chimp pedigree #C0471 (Clint) chromosome 8, whole genome shotgun sequence.